CAAGGCCGAGAGUCUGUUGGAUGGUUUGAAGUGAUCCUUCAAGACGAGCGUCAAUCACGAUACUGGAAAGAACAUUUUCGCAUGCAGAAACCAACGUUCUUGCGACUUGUUGAGUUGGUUGAGCCGGAAAUUUUAAAAAGAAACACUGCUUUUCGAGAUGCUAUUUCUCCGGCUAAACGAGUAGCCAUUGCUCUUUGGACUCCUUUAAUUGUGGUGUGACGUUCCACGGAAAUUUAAGCUAUUCAAUCAAUUUCCGUUUCAGCAAUCGUCACUAGAUAUAUGUUUGCACGUAAAUACGGUGCGGUUUCAAUAAGCUUCAGUUAAUCUUAGACUGUUGACUUAAUAACAAAUCAGUAAAGGAAAAGAAACUCGAGGGUUUGAUGAUGUUAAAAUCACGUUCGUUCUUCCUCUGUUUUUGCUUCCUCUGCGGAAUGCACAGCGCCACUGCGACUCAAAAUUGGGCUCGUAAAUCGGACGUAAUGGAAAUAAAGACAAUGUUGUCGAAAAUGAAAUCUGAGAUCUUACUGGAACUAAA